GCUCACACAAAGACGACCUCAGCGCCCGGGGUUAACACGCCUUUAAUCCCAGCAUUAGGGAGGUGUGUGACAGGAGCAAGGGGAAUAUUUCGGCGUUGAUUCUGCAGCCACGCUGAAGAUAGGAAGGCUCGGUAUCAAGGAUUCGUUCUCCAGGCGCGUUGAGAAUUAGGAACGCCCCAGCCCUGUUAAAGGAACCCUCUCCACAACCUACCGUUUCAGGAAAAGCAGCCGGCUCCAGGGCCACCUUUACAGAACUAAGCAUUGGAUGAUACACGAACUGCGCCAUCUCGAGUCUAGCAGUUGAUUCAGAGGUGGGAUGGCUACAGCUAACAGCAUUUUCUUCCAGCUCACCAGACAGAAAGGCAUAAGUUCCAGAGGAUUCCUUUCACCUCCUCACAGGGAGCUCACUCCUAUCACUGACUUCAGAAUGGAGCAUUAACCCUAGGGUUCAGCAGCAGAGUGGAAACCAUUGG